rnacentral:rRNA from 1 species
GACAGAGGGUGCAAACGUUGUUCGGAAUUACUGGGCGUAAAGCGCGUGUAGGCGGCCCUGCAAGUCGGGUGUGAAAUCCCACGGCUCAACCGUGGAAGUGCACUCGAAACUGCAGGGCUAGAGUCCUGGAGAGGAAGGUGGAAUGCUUGGUGUAGAGGUGAAAUUCGUAGAUAUCAAGCGGAACACCGGUGGCGAAGGCGGCCUUCUGGACAGUGACUGACGCUGAGAUGCGAAAGCGUGGGGAGCAAACAGG